GCAGCCCAGGCUGGCCUGGAACUUGCCUUGAACCUCCUGCUUCAGCCUCCAGAGUGCUGGGAUGACAGGCUUACACCACCAAGCCCUGCUACAAACCAAAACUUUAGUUAUUCCUUUUUUACCACUAAAAAUAUAUUGGGAGGGAACAAAGGGAGGAUAAAUUAUAACCUACAUAAGGACCAACUACCUGACUGGUUUUGAUCAUAUGCAGAAAAAAUAAUCACCUCCAGGCAUCCUUUAAUCAAAGUCAGAUUUAACAUACAUUUACACAGACCUACUUGCCUCCACGGUGUCAGAUAUUCAGGAGUGGUUUUAUCCAGUGAAGCAGUCCACACUGCAUUCCCAUCUUGUUUUAUUUAUUGUUUUUUUGAGACAGAGUCUUGACAUGUAGUUCAAGCUGGCCUCCAACUCACAGCAAUCCUCCUGCCUCAGCCUCCCAGGUGCUGGGGAUCACAGCUCUGUGCCACCAAACCCAGCCUCCCAACCUUUCUAAUGUUACUGCCAGAGUUACCAGCGUGACUUCCUGUUGGGAUUCAUCUGUCCUAAGUGUGAAUAAAUGAGAGGCCAGAAGACAAGGGAUAACAGAUCAACAUACUCCAAGUCAGCUCGACCGCUCCGGCCGCAGCCCACCGCGGGAACACGCAGGCGCAGGGCGCCCGCCCACCGAGGAUUCGCGCGCUCGCCGGCCUGCGGCUUCUCACGGCGGGACUUCCGGUUGUGCUUACUUCUGGGUCCACCCGGCACCCCGCAUUCUCCUCUCUUCCGGUCUCAGCUAUUCCUAUACGUAGGGGUGAUGCUGCCCUAUCCCAGCCUGAAAUUCCUGCCUGAGUGCUCGGCCAUUGGUUCGCAGGCAGGCAUCAUGCCUAAGCCUUCCGUGAAUCCUAAUGUUCAUUGCCAAGAGGUGUGUGUGUGUUUGUGUAAAACAACCCCCCGAAUCCUAAUGUUCAUUGCCAAGGGUGUGUGUGUGUGCGUGUGUAAAACAAUCCCCCCCCCGAAUCCUUUAGG
rnacentral:lncRNA from 1 species